rnacentral:rRNA from 1 species
AUUGAACGCUGGCGGUAGGCCUAACACAUGCAAGUCGAACGCGAAAGUCCUUCGGGAUGAGUAGAGUGGCGGACGGGUGAGUAACGCGUAGGAAUCUAUCCUGUAGUGGGGGAUAACGUUUCGAAAGGAACGCUAAUACCGCAUACGCCCCAAGGGGAAAGCGGGGGAGUCUUCGGACCUCGUGCUAUAGGAGGAGCCUGCGUCGGAUUAGCUAGUUGGUGAGGUAAAGGCUCACCAAGGCGACGAUCCGUAGCUGGUCUGAGAGGAUGAUCAGCCACACCGGAACUGAGACACGGUCCGGACUCCUACGGGAGGCAGCAGUGGGGAAUAUUGCGCAAUGGGCGAAAGCCUGACGCAGCCAUACCGCGUGUGUGAAAG